CAUGUAAAAUCAGGGUCCUGUUUCUCUCUUCUGCAUCCAGAUAACAUUUUUUUUCUCAAAGGUAUUCAUUGAGCAGACUUUGCCUUCCACAUUUCAGUGGUCUUUGUCAAAGUGAGUUGACUGUGUCCGUUUUUGCAUUGGUCUUGUUUUGUCCUCCUCGUUUUUGUCCACAGUUCUAGGUAUUGUUUUUAUCCAAGUACCUUAUAUCUGCUGCAUAACUGCAGCUUGGCAGUAUGAUUUAAUCGAGGAUUGUGAGUCCUCACUUUGAUUGUAUUUCUCAGGAUUCCUUUAGAUAUGAAUUGUUUUAUGGUUCCCUUAGAUAUGAAUUGUUUUAUGGUUCCCUGUGAUUUUUAGCAAUGUGUAUUUAUUUCUGUUAACUUUCUUUUCUGCAACAUAAAGGUGCAUAAUUAGGGGUACAUUUUCACAUAUAUAGAUUGGGUAAUGAUCAAAUCAGGGUACUUAAGAUCUCUAUUCCCUCAUAAGGUAUUAUUUUUGUGUGGAGAGAACACUCAAAAUUCUCUUUUCUUGUUCUUUUGAAAAAUAUGUUAACUCCAGUCACCAGGCUGAGGAGAAUGCUCAGAUUGAUUUGCAGUUCUCUCGCAGUUCUUUUAAAUAUAUGUUAAAACAUAUAUUUAACAUAAUGUUUUCCAGGUUCAUCUGGGUUGCUCCACAUGACACUGUUUCAUCAUUUUGGUGGCUGAAGAAUAUUCCCUAGUGUAUGCAUAUGAGAGUUUCUUGAUCCCUUUAUCUGUGGAUGGACAGCUUUUAGGAGAUGAAGAUGUUUUCAGUCUGCAUGCCUGAGAUCGUGUGGAAUGGGACUUUCUCUACCAGGCUCAUUUGUUGGACCCGAUGUUCUCCAGGUUUCUUCAUGUGGCUGCAGAUGGCAGGAUUUUCCAGAGCUUUAUGGCUGGAACAUACUCUGUGGUGUAUCUGUACAGCAGUUUCUUCAUCCCUGCAGCUGUGUGUGGACAGGUCAUAUACCAUGAUGUUCUUCAGGUUCAACAGUGUGGCUCCAAAUGAUGAAAUUUCAUUCUGGUUUUCUAGCUGA
rnacentral:lncRNA from 13 species